rnacentral:rRNA from 1 species
CCCUUAGAUGUCCUGGGCCGCACGCGCGUUACACUGAUGCAUUCAACGAGCUUAUAACCUUGGCCGAGAGGCCUGGGCAAUCUUGUUAACGUGCAUCGUGAUAGGGAUAGAUUAUUGAAAUUAUUAAUCUUGAACGAGGAAUUUCUAGUAAACGCAGAUCAUCAAUCUGCAUUGAUUACGUCCCUGCCCUUUGUACACACCGCCCGUCGCACCUACCGAUUGGAUGGUCCAGUGAAGCCUCGGGAUUGUGGUUCUUGCCGCUUUAUUGUGGCGUGACCGCGAGAACUUGUCUAAACCUUAUCAUCUAGAGGAAGGUGAAGUCGUAACA